GGCCCCUUAGCUCAGUGGUUAGAGNCAGGCGACUCAUAAUCGCUUGGUCGUUGGUUCAAACCCAACAGGGGCCACCA
rnacentral:tRNA from 1 species